rnacentral:rRNA from 1 species
AACGAACGCUGGCGGCAUGCCUAACACAUGCAAGUCGAACGAGAUCUUCGGGUCUAGUGGCGCACGGGCGCGUAACGCGUGGGAAUCUGCCCUUUGGUUCGGAAUAACAGUUGGAAACGCCUGCUAAUACCGGAUGAUGACGACAGUCCAAAGAUUUAUCGCCAGAGGAUGAGCCCGCGUAGGAUUAGCUAGUUGGUGUGGUAAAGGCGCACCAAGGCGACGAUCCUUAGCUGGUCUGAGAGGAUGAUCAGCCACACUGGGACUGAGACACGGCCCAGACUCCGACGGGAGGCAGCAGUGGGGAAUAUUGGACAAUGGGCGAAAGCCUGAUCCAGCAAUGCCGCGUGAGUGAUGAAGGCCUUAGGGUUGUAAAGCUCUUUUACCCGGGAUGAUAAUGACAGUACCGGGAGAAUAAGCUCCGGCUAACUCCGUGCCAGCCGCCGCUGUAA